rnacentral:rRNA from 1 species
UUUCAGCGGGGACGAUAAUGACGGUACCCGCAGAAGAAGCCCCGGCUAACUUCGUGCCAGCAGCCGCGGUAAUAAGAAGGGGGCUAGCGUUGCUCGGAAUUACUGGGCGUAAAGGGCGCGUAGGCGGAUGUUUAAGUCAGAGGUGAAAGCCCAGGGCUCAACCUUGGAACUGCCUUUGAUACUGGACAUCUUGAGUAUGGGAGAGGUGAGUGGAACUCCGAGUGUAGAGGUGAAAUUCGUAGAUAUUCGGAAGAACACCAGUGGCGAAGGCGACUCACUGGCCCAUUACUGACGCUGAGGCGCGAAAGCGUGGGGAGCAAACAGGAUUAGAUACCCUGGUAGUCCACGCUGUAAACGAUGAGUGCUAGUUGUCGGCAUGCAUGCAUGUCGGUGACGCAGUUAACGCAUUAAGCACUCCGCCUGGGGGGUACGGUCGCAAGAUUAAAACUCAAAGGAAUUGACG